GAGGAAUAUUGGGCAAUGCCCGAAAGGGUGACCCAGCAACGCCGCGUGGAGGAUGAAGGUCGUAAGAUUGUAAACUCCUGUUAGAGGGGAAGAAUAACUAAGUUUGGAGCUUAGUAUGACUGUACCCUCAGAGAAAGCCCCGGCUAACUACGUGCCAGCAGCCGCGGUAAUACGUAGGGGGCAAGCGUUGUCCGGAUUUACUGGGUGUAAAGGGCGCGCAGGCGGAAUGGAAAGUCAGUGGUGAAAUCCUACAGCUUAACUGUAGAACUGCCUUUGAUACUUUCAUUCUUGAGUUCGGGAGAGAGAGACGGAAUUCCAGGUGUAGUGGUGAAAUACGUAGAUAUCUGGAAGAACACCAGUUGCGAAGGCGGUCUCUUGGUCCGUUACUGACGCUGAGGCGCGAAAGCGUGGGAGCAAACA
rnacentral:rRNA from 1 species